rnacentral:lncRNA from 1 species
AAAAUAAAUAAAUAAAUAAAAAGAUUUCCUAGGGAAAACUGUUUCUUUUUAAAUUGAAAAAAAAUUAUCCUCCUUUUAUUAUGAAAAUGGAAGCAAAGAUGGGAAAAAUAAGAUGAGUUGCACAAAGAUAUAUGUAUCCAUCUUUGAAAAUUUGGUUCCGAUUAGAACAUCAGAUGCUACAUUAGAUUACCAUUGCAGAUAACAUUAAAAUGUUGGAAAACAAACACAAAAAUCAACUAAAUCCUCUUAUUUUUAUAAGUUAAGGUUCAAAGAAGUUAAGGUCAAACAUUGAGAUCUCUUCUUGUAAGUGAAGUCCAAAGCUUAGGAUACUUAACUCCAAAGGAAUUCAAGUCCAAAGUUUAUUCUCUCUAGUUUCUUGCUGUGCUCAGUCUCAGCCAUAGGUGUCCUCGAUGUCUGGGUACCGUGGGGCUCUCUUCAGCAGCUGCUGCCUGGGCUGUCUGGGCUGCCUUCCCCUGGAAUGGGUAUCGUUAAUUGGAGGUUGAAUUAGCCUCUCUCGUGGCCUGCUCUUAAGAGUCCCGUGACUGUGGCCGUGCUGGUCUUCUACUUUCCCACCAGCACAAAUCUCAGAUCCAGCACACACCUUUAAUCUGCCACACCAUGCCAAGGAGUUUGGUCUCUAUCCCAAGUGCAAGGGAUCCAUUGAGAUGUUUUAAGGAGGAGGGUGACAUGAUGAUCAGAUAUGAAUUUUAAAUAGACCCCUUUGACUGCAGAAUGGAGCAUAAUUGGAAGGGGAGUUGAGGUAGGUGGAAGAGAGACCAGUUAGGAGAGUUUUGAAGAGGUCAGGCUAGAGUUGAUGACAGGGUGGUGGCAGUGGUGAUAGAAGUCGAAGAACUGCUUUAAAGAUGUUAGGAGGUAAAAAUCAGCAGUAUUGAUUUGAUGUGGAAGAUGAGAGAAAGUUCUUUUUUUCAUGCAAUGCCUCUGUAGUGCUUUUCCUCUUAUUCCUUCCUUCAUUCUUUCUUUUAUUCAUCCAUCCAUUGAAAAACAUUCACUGAACAGUGACUACGCUGAUGCUGUCUUUCAGGAACUGCGCUCUGUACAGCGAGGGAUACCGAGAAGUAUCUGCUCUCAGGGAAACUCAGUCCAGUGGUUUUCAAAGGAACUCGUACUGUACUUUUCAUUUCACACAUCACAAAUUUACAUCUUCAAAAGCUGGAAAACGUCAACACCUCAGGAAAAUAUAGUGUAAAAUAUGUGAACAUCUGCUCACCUGGAGCAGCAGUAAUCACAGAGAAAAUUGUAAUCUCCUGGACUGGGUCAUCAUUAGUCGUUAGCGCCUACAACACGACUUAGGGCCAUCUUCAACCUUCUUAGCUUCAUGUAACAUAAAAACUCAGCCAGCACGUUCCCCGAAUUAGGCUGCUAGUAAAACCAGAAACUUGUUUUAACAGAAAGUCAACAAUGAAGCCGUUGUGUUUCACUGGAGCGAGACAGGCGCGGAGGAGCUCAGCUUCCCACUGUGGUGUAACACCUUCAAUGGGGCCUUCCUCUCCAGCCCAGGCCCGCUGAGAUGGGAGUCAGCAUUCCACAGGUAUUUCCUGAGGGCCCCUCUCACAGUUCCCUCUCAACGUGUGCAUUCAUGGCCAGGUCAUUUAUCCUACCUGCCACCUUGGGCUGAUGAAAAUGUUACUCUGACUUAUGGCUUGAGCACUUCCUCAGAAAGUUGGGGACCCCAAGUGAGUUUCACUCCUAACUUUCUUCGUGGAAAGGUUUUCAUUGUUUAUAGUCUGUGAAUUUUGGAUGGCAGCCAAUGCUGAAGCUGAGAGGAAGGCUUUCUCUGUGGGAUUUUGCCUGCAUCCACCACCAUGAUAAAUAUGUGAUGUUAUUAUCAGUAUAUUUGACUUUAUAUAAAUGCUUUCUUUGUGUGAGAGGACAUCUGCGUAGUUUGCAAGUUCAUACAUUGUCUUCUGCUGGUAAUCGGCAAUCAUGUUUUCAUUUAAUUAUUAUGAGAUUAAUGUAACCUCUUUUUGAGCCCUAAUUCAUCACAUGGUAAAGAAAACCCAGACAUUUUUGAAUUGAGAAAAACUAGCCUUCCACCACAGCUCUCUUCUAAUUCUUGGAAGAUGAGCCAAUUAUACUAAGACUUAGCAGUACAGAAAAGAUAAGCUUAUCUGUGGGGUGAGGAAUUGGUAGCAAAUAAUAGAAGAAUUAUUUUACUUUGAGGACAGCUGUCUUUUUGCAUUAUAACUGAGAGAAGUGGUAAAAUCUUUUCUGGCAAUAUUUUGCAAUCUUAGAAAUGGUCAUGCCUGGUAUAGUUUAGGCAUUGCAUUGCUGCAAUUUAGGGAGAUGCAGUGAUGCCAUCUAGGUACCUAGGUGCAAUCUAGGAGUGGUGGUUAGUGGCGGGCAGGGUUUCUCAAGAGCAGCUUCUCGGUUGGGUCACCACAUUCCAGAGAAGUGGUUUUUUAAAAACUUAGUAUUACUGGUUUAUUUUAAAGAAUACAACCCAGGAACAGCCAAGUGAAAAAAAUGCAUGGGUCAAGGUAUUGUGGGGAGGGGUGGCACCUCCAUGCUGUCUCCGGGCAUGCCAUCCUCCCAGCACGUCCAGGUAUUCACCAACCAGGAAGCUAGAAAAGUGGUUUUUAACCUUUUUUGAAUCAUGGGCCACUUUGGGAAUCUGAAAGAGCCUCUGGUUUACUUCACACCCCCACAUGCUCAUAUGCACAUGUACGCACACUUAUACAUCUAAUUUCGUGGAGUUCAUUGAGCUCCUAGAGACCUAUCCAAAAGACUCUGGGCCCUGGGCUAAGAACCCCAGUCCUGCAGUCUGGUUCUCAGUCUUGAACUGUGUCAGGGUGCCAGAAGUCAGGAUAGACUCAUGGUAACUGAAGUACCAAACAGUGAUGUAUAAAGCAAAAAGUCAAAGAAUUUAUAGCAGAGUUUCCCUCUUUUCAGUAGCCAGAAUGACUUUGUGUCUACUCAGUAUCCAGAGAGCUUGGAAGAAAAAUCAUUCAGCCACACAUUGCUUGGAGAGGUGGGUGGCCUGGGGGUGGGCUUUUUUACUCCAGUACUAGCUCAGUGAUCUGUCCCUGUCCCACAGCAAAGAUCCUCUCCUUAGUGACCCCAGAUCCAGGAUUUUUUCUCCCUUAGAUAGUGCUGGAUAUACUUAACAACUUGUACUUCUCUGAACUUGGUUUCUCAUGCUGGGCAGUCCCCUAGAUUGACACAUUCUUUCUUUAGACAGUAUCUGUUCCCUGGAACCCUGGAGCCGUGUCUGUCUCCUCCAGUUAGAGGGGCCCACAGUCUUAGCUUAUAGACCACAGGUAUGGAGGGUCCAUGAGAGCAGGGCAUGGAUCUAGUUCCUGGUUUUCGCUGCGUCUAGCUGUCCUAGGAGUUCACAAGGAAACCGGAAGGAGCUCCUGGAAAUCUGAUGUGGUUUGUGGUAGUCAUGUUUCCUUUGUUUCUACCCCAGCCCUGCACUAGAGCUGCACUUGAGACGGGAGAGGACAGCAGUGAUCAAGGCUGAAAAAUUCCCAGGUUUAAUCCCCUAUUAGGCUCUCCUCGUGUAGUCCGGAAGGCUGUGAUUCACCAUUUCCCCCAAAUGACUGAUUCAGAGAGAAUAUAUGCAUAUGUUAAUGUUGUGUGUUCAUGCUGUAGACCAUAUUUCCAGCCACUUUGCCAAAAAUCCAUCUGUAUGAUAUGUCCCAUUGGCUUCCAUAUUUGAAGAUCCACAGUGGCCUACAGAGUGGAAUAGUUGAGUGCCAACUUGGAGGGGGUCCACGGCCUCUUGAGACAUUGAUAUUCGGGGAUUCUGUGAUAUCCAAAAACAUCCUCACUGACUCACGUAACCUAAGAUGGUAGAAUGACACCUUCCUAAGCUGAUAUGAAGACUCUGUUGGCUUUUCUGAACCCUAAUGGGGCAGGGUAGUUUUGGAAUGCAAAGGCACCUGGGAGAAUUUUGUAUAGUAGUGAUGCCUGGGAAGGGAAUCUCCAGCCCAGGCCUUUAUUCACCAAUAGGUGAGUCGGACAUCUGGAAAGAUGAUAAGUAUCUCAGAACAGUUAUUACCUCCCUGUCAAAAGUUUGACAGUUGAGCUGAGGUCUAAUAUUUCUAACAAUAAGAGCAAACUGUUGCAAACUAAUGACUGGUCCUGGAGAGAAAGGAGUGUCCGUGGCACAGAGCACUCGUCCCUGGGGCACUGCCUUGUAUUUUCAUUCUUUAGACUAGCCUUACACCUCAUAAAUCUGUCAGUCAUUUCAAAUAAAAUUUCUGUUUGUGUUGGGCA